AUUGAACGCUGGCGGCAGGCCUAACACAUGCAAGUCGAGCGAGCGGCGGACGGGUGAGUAAUGUAUGGGGACUGCCCGAUAGAGGGGGAUAACUACUGGAAACGGUGGCUAAUACCGCAUACUAUCGGAUAACCCAUAUGGGAUUAGCUAGUAGGUGGGGUAAAGGCUCACCUAGGCGACGCUCUCUAGCUGGUCUGAGAGGAUGAAGGGCCCACCUGGAACUGCGACACGGCCCAGACGCUACCGGAGGCAGCAGUGGGGAAUAUUGCAAAAUGGGCGAAAUCCGAAGAAAGACAUGCCGGGUGUAGGAAGAGGGCCUUAGGGUUUAAAAGUACUUUCAGCGGGGAGGCGUUACCCGCAGAAGAAGCACCGGCUAACUCCGUGCCAGCAGCCGCGGUAAUUC
rnacentral:rRNA from 1 species